UGAGUCUGAUGCUUCUAAUAUCACUGUAGUAUCAAGAAAGCCAGAUUCACCCACCACAUGUGUGAAAGUAGAGAAAUGGCUACAAACCUGUGAUAAAAGUCAGCCAAAGUCUCUGAGAGUAGAUACAGAUGAUGUCACUUCUAAGACAGACAAGAAUACAGAACAAUAUACCAAGGACAUGACAGUGCCAUGUGAAGUUAAUCAUUCUAAAGAUGUUCCAGCAGAUUUGAAGAUGGAUAGUUUGCAGAAUGGACAACCUACUCUAAGCACCACUGAGGAAGAGAACUACGCCUUAGAAAAGGUUACAACUGUUGCUGUUGAUGACGUCAAGCAAAAGGAUAAAGCUAUUUGUACACUAAAUGAUAGCCAUUCUUCUGAUCCUGUUCCUGAUGCUGAUAGAUCACGUAGUACUACUGAUCAUUCCAACAAGAAUAAGGAACAAACUAUGAAGCAGGCUGUUCAUAUAGAUAUCCCAGAUCAUUCAGAUGACAUUGCUUAUAGAGAAAUCUGUAAUGGAAAGAAACAUGUUGUGAGCUCAGUUGAUGUAACAGCAUGUGACAAACCCACAAGCAAAGACACUGUAAAAAACGAAAGCAAACCAGAUGUAUUUUCCAGUGAGGUACGUGAAACUGUUCCCAAGGAAAGCAAUGCAAUUGCCAAUUUUGAAGUAACAAUUCCUGAAAACACAGGUGUUGCAGCCCAUGAGCCAGCCAAUGAAAACAAACGAAAGACUCGGAAAAAGAAGAAAAAGAAGGAAAAGAAGAAGUCAGUGGCCAUUGACGAGCAAACAUCUGAAGCUACACUAGAAAAUGAUGGUCAUGGAAUAAAUAUAAACGAGAAUGUUGACAAAGAAAAAUCAGUUAUUUCUGAUACACCUCAAGAGGAAAAGAUGAAAAUGGUGAAAUAUGUGGCAGAAAGACCAGUCUUGACAGUUUCAGAAUGCAAAUCAGAUAUUUUGGAAAUGAUCCAAAAUUCCAGCUAUUCCAUUUUGGAGAGCAUCAGUGGAGCUACAGGCUAUGGACUGGCUGAAAAUGCAGAUUCUAGAAAGGAGAAGGCUGAAACUGCAGGAGAGAGGAGGGGAGGGAAUGAUAUGGAACUUAAACCAGACCACUUUGAUAACUUACCAUGGGAAGUAGAGUUCACAGCUGAUGCUUGGAAACAUCUCAGGAGCAAGAGUGUACAAAUGAGACUUAAGCAAAGGGCUGUAAAGAUUAUCACAGAGCUAGCAAAUGGAAACUGGAGGCCAGAAUUUUACAAACCUGCCAGCACUAGUACAAGAAAUAUUUUCACAUCAGAACUGUCCAAAACCACUUCAUUAAUAUGGGAGAAAGCUGUUGCAUUUUCAGGACGUUGCAGCGAUUCUCCAAGUAAAAGAAUGCAGAAUGAGGAUGAUGGAAACUUUGCUGUUAAAGGUGGCCGUAUUUACACACAGAUCAUUAGAGUGUGGGAUAUUGUCUCCAGUGAUGAUGAUUCUCAGAGACUGUUGGAUUCAAUAAGAAAAUCAUAUAAGAGAGGGAAAAUGUCACUGUUGAAAAGAAACUUGCAAGGUUUAGAGAGAUCAAAUCAUACAGACAAACAGAAACAUCUUCCAUUACUUUUUGCAGAACAAGAUAUGAGGGUACAAGAAACAAUCACUUGCAUGUUCUUUCACCCAGCAAGUCCAGAUCCAAGGGAAUAUCAUAUCCUCAAGUUCUAUGCAUUUACAUCUGCCUUAGUCAACAUUGUGCUGUCCAAUAUGACCAAGAAAGCUGAUCUGCCUUUCAAGGUGACUGAUAAAGAGCAUGCUAUCAUCCACCUCAGUGGUGAAGCCCCCAUCCUCUUGCAGGGAAGAAGUGGGACAGGCAAGACUACGAGUUGCCUGUACAGACUGUGGACAAACUUCAUCUCCUACUGGAGGAUAGCUCAAGAGAGAGGUGCCCCCUUAAUUCCAAGGAUGGGCUGGGCCUUUGCAGCACCAGCUGAAGACGAUGAGGAUGGAAAUCCUGAAGAUGAUGAACAAGCAGAUUCUUAUGAAGCAGCUGAUGUCCAACCUUCCUUUGAGAGACAGGAGGAGGAGGAGGACCAAGACUAUGGAGAAUAUGACCAUCUUCAUCAGAUCUUUGUGACAAAGAAUCCUGUGUUGUGCACAGAGGUUCACAAGAACUUCUAUGAACUCUGCCAUGCUUGUGAUGAAACUGCGGACCAUGUAGAAGCUGAAUGCCAGGAGAUCCCUCCUAGACUACAAGAUGUUGAGGAUCUCAGUUACCCACUUUUCCUUACAUCUAAGCAACUGUUAAUGAUGCUGGAUGGCUCACUUGGUCAGCCUUAUUUCUUUGAAAGGGGUGAGGACGGUAGUCUGGGUGCAACGGUGCGAGGAUGGGAGGAACAAGGAGAUGCCUUGGGUAUCUCACUCAUGGACCAAGACUCUGAUGAAGACUUUAUGGGAAUGAACAAUGACUAUGAUGAAGAUGUUCAGCAACAAGAAGCAGCAGCUGGAUUAAGACAACGGAAACUGAAUCCAAGAAAGGAGGUCACUUAUGAGGUAUUCGCUUCUACCAUUUGGCCAAAGAUUAAGAAGAAAGCAAAGUAUCAUCCAUCUUUAGUUUGGACUGAAAUCAUGUCUUUCAUCAAAGGAUCCUUUGAAGCAUUGGCAACAUCAGAAGGACAUCUUUCAGAGAAAGACUAUAUUGAAGUAGGGAGAAAGAAAGCUCCUAAUUUUUCAGGAUUGAGGAAAACAGUUUAUCAACUGUUUGAGAGAUAUGACUUUUCCAAAAAGCAAAACUUGCUGUUUGAUAAGGCAGAUCUUGUGUCAGACAUUUUCAAACGCUUGAAAAAAAUGAAUAAAUUACCUUGGAUAGUGCACCAACUGUAUGUUGAUGAAACACAAGAUUUCACUCAGGCAGAAUUAAGUGUCCUCAUUCGAAUCACACAGCAUCCUAAUGACAUGUUCUUGACAGGGGACACAACUCAGGGGAUUAUGAGGGGCAUCUCCUGCAGGUUUAGUGACCUCAAAUCUCUCUUCUUUCAAGCCAAAAAAUCACUGGCAGCUGGUAACCAGACAAUGCUGAAUGAACCAAAGCAAGUGUACCAACUGACACACAGCUACAGAUCUCAUGGUGGGAUCCUUGCCCUUGCCUCAGCAGUCCUGGACCUGAUGGUGGAAUUCUUCCCAGAAUCCUUUGACAAACUGAAAAAGGACCAAGGUCUGCUUGAUGGACCGCUACCAUUGCUGAUGGAGUCUUGCAGCCCGCAGGAUCUCGCAAUUCUGCUUCAGGGAAACAACAGAAAAGCCUCCCACAUUGAGUUCGGAGCUCACCAGGCCAUCCUUGUGGUGAACGAUGAAGCCAAGGAGAAGAUGCCUGACAUGCUGUCCAGGCACAGCAUUGUCCUCACAAUCUAUGAGUCCAAGGGGCUGGAGUUUGAUGACAUACUGCUCUACAACUUCUUCACAGAUUCUCAGGCCACAAAAGAAUGGCGAGUUGUCACCACAUUCCUAGAGAAACUUGCUGCAUGCCGCAACUAUGAAGAACAAGCAGAAAACCUUCAUGUUAUUGAUGCAGGAAUGCUGACUCAGCCCAAUCGACCAAGAGCACUUGUAUUUGAAGCUAAUGAGCAUAAAAUUCUCAACUCUGAACUAAAGUACCUAUACACAGCCUUGACUAGAGCACGUGUGAAUGUGUGGAUCUUUGAUGAAGAUGAGGAGAAACGAGCUCCAAUGUUUGAAUACUUUAAGGCAAGGCAGCUGGUCCGGUGUAUCUCCCAGACAGAGGAUGGGAAUUCUGAGUUUACCCACAUGGUGUUUGCUAUGAAGUCAGCCCCUGAGGACUGGGUGAAGAGAGGAGAUGAGAUGAUGAGCCAGGCCCUGUAUGAGGUCGCUGCCUGCUGUUACCGUAUGGGUGGGGACGACAACAAGGAACAGCUAGCCCUUGCUCACUGUCAGGCACAGGGGGCACUCAAGCUGAAAGACACCCCUCGGAAAAUGAGGGAAGAGUUUGUGUGUGCUGCUCAUAAGUUCCUACACUGCGGAGAUGUCAUUAAAGCUGCAACAUGUCUACAGAAUGCACGUGAAUUUGAGCUGGCAGCAAAGUUGUUCCAGAAAAUGAAGAAGUUCCAAGAGGCAGCCAGGCUGUUCCAGAGGUCUGGGAAACAUGCUGAUACCAGUGAGUGCUAUGAGGAGCUCGGAUUGUACAACAGAGCAGUGGAGUUGCUAGACAAAGAGGCACUGCAUGAACUUGCCAUUGAUUGCUUGAAGAGGUACCAAACAAAAGUACAGGAGAUGAGAGGAACAGACAGGGAAAUGCUGAAGAUGCUUGAGAGUAACAAGCCAGGCGCUCAGUUUACUCUUGAGAACCUCUACUUCAAACUAGUCAAAUUCAACCAUAAACACAGGAACAAGCCCAAGAUGUUGUCAGCGUUAGACCAUCUGCCCUAUGAUGACCAGCUGGAGUUUCUGGAGAAGCACCAGUACCUCCAGGAAGCUGUUCAGCUCAUGUUGAGAGGAGGUCAAAGUUCCCAUUCUGACGUUGCUCAGAUGCUUCUGCGACAUGGUGCCACCAGAGAUGCUCUUCACCAUGCUGAAAAAGGACCUGAUGUGGAUGUCCGAGGGAAAUGCCAUCACACCUUAGCACUGGAGCUGUACUUCGAGAUGGAAGAGAAAUCUCAGCAUGAGGAGCUCCACAUAGAUUCAAGCAAAAAGGAAAUUGUUAGUCAUUUUCAAAAGGCAACCACUGCAUUUGAGGAAACAGAGAACAACAAUAGUGCAGGAAUGGCUUCUUUGGUCAUUGCUAUGGUACAGAACAGAAAAAGAGAUGCACAGAGAGCAUUUGGAUUCUUUAAGAAGGUCUCACCAUUUGCCAAUGAAGCAGGCAUGGUUGAAGCCAUGAAAAUAAUUGUUCGUUCUGUUUCAAAUGGGAAACUUUCAGACUGCCAGUGGUUAGUCACUGCUAUUGAGACAUUGCUGACUGUAAUCAGCACACUUUUGAAAGCAGAUAGUAGAGAAAAGCAUAGCAGAUGCACACUCUACUUGAAGCUCUAUGGCCUUCACCAAGAUGACAAGGAUCCAAGUCAACUAAUUGCUUAUCGUAGACAAAAGAACCUAUGUGCUGAUGUCUUGUCAGAAACCUUCAGAUGGAAGGACAAAAGAACUGUACACUUUGAUAAGCAAGACAUUUCAUUUAAGCUUUCAAUAUACCUUGUUGGUGUUCUGAAAGAAUGGAUUAAGAUCUGCAGAAACUGGCUUGACAGUCAUGUGUCCAGGAACAUACAGUGCAGGUCAUUUCAGGAAGGAAGAUGUGUAGGAAGCAGUUCUUGUGACAACAAUAAGUGUCAUCAUCUGCAUGAGCCCUUCACCAGAGAAACUGCUCUCAAAGGUUUAAAGGCACUGUUGUUGAAGGUCAAAUUAGAAGAUGUCUUACAUCGUGGAGUGAAAUCCCUCUGGGAUGUAGUUAUGAAUGUCCAAUCCCAAAAGAAGAACCUUAAUGAUGAACUCACUGCACUGACAGAUGAUACUGCAACAUCUACAGCAUUCGAAAAGUUAAUGAAGCAUUUCAUCAUUCCGGAAGGCCAUCACUUGAGAAAUUUGACAGAAAAUGAAGUAGUCAUGAGAAAAUUCAGAGACACUUUGGACAGUGUGAACUUGAAAAGUUUUAUUCAGGAAAUGGUGAAUUGCUGGUGUUGCAGCCCGUUACAAGUACAAUGCAAGAGUUCAGAUUGGUUUGUAAGAGCAACAGUUCUGGUUUCCCUAUUUAAGAUCCAACACAUUGACUUGAAAAAGAUAGGCUUUAACAUAAAAAGACAACUACAAGGUUCAGAUCCGCUUGAUGAAGAGGCAAGGAAUGCUUUUAUUUCAUUUGAAAGAGACAAUUUGAUUAUUCACCUUGGAGGUCAGUUCUAUGAAGCCUUUGGUGCAUUGAAAGAUGAUCCUAUAUCAUCUGUGUUUGCAUAUUCAAAAUUUGUCAAAAUCCUUGGAGAUCGUAACAUACCAAUGGUGUUCCCCAAAAUGCCUCUUUUCCUGUUUUGCCAUGAGGUCUUUAUAACUAUUGCACUUACAUCAUUUGCAAAACUUUCAUCUGAAACAGGGAGAUUUGUUUUACCGGCAACCUAUCUUGCAACCCUGCCAUACGUCAGUGCCAUGUUGCCGCAAGGAUCUAGUUCAAUUCAGUGGUCAAUCAAUUCCAUCAGUAGAGGCAAAGAAAGCAUCAAAACCUUUCAAGUUCACAUUCAACGUUUGGCUGGUGUCUUGUGUGGGAGUGAGAUGAGAAUGAAUCUGCUUUCAUGCUUAUUUCGCCCCAGGAGAGAUUUUGAUUACCUACAAGCAGAGCGGUGCCUCAUCCUGGCUCUGGUAGUUCUUGCUAAUGUGGGACUUUUGCUGGAUCCACCAGUUGAGGUGCCACUGAUGGAAGCUCUAAUGAGACUGGAACUCCCAGAAGAUGCUCCAACAAGACUUAAGAAUGGUCUUCAAUCCAUAAAGAAAUCUCAUGGAAUAGCUGACCUUGUGGAUGUUCUUCAGAGGAUGCUGAAAGAAAGGGAAGAUGAAAAUCUGCUUCUUUGUGAGUGGAAGUGGAAUCCACAGAGAAAAGAAGGUAUCCAGCACCAGCAGUUGAAGUCUCUUGGUAUGUUCCCAUCAGCAUUUGUAAACUUUGUACACACCUUGCCUCAUGCGCAACAUGAGAAAGAAAACAAUGCAGCUAGAGUGCUUCAGCGCUUCAUCAGGAACCUGACUCUCAGGCGACACAUAGAACUGGGGAAUCUGAAGCAGAGAUGUGAACAGCAAAUAUUGAAAGGAAUUAGUAUCAGUGCAGAAGAAACUCAAAGAGAGAAGGAUGAAUUUGAUAAGUAUGUUCGGGAAGAACAAGAAGACAGAUCAGCAAGGGUCCUUCAGCGCUUCUUCAGGAGGUUAAGCUUCACUGGGAGAAUUGAAGGAGGAAAUAUCAGAGAAAGAUGUCAACAACAAAAACUUAAGGAAAUAUUCUCAUUCUAUGACAUUACAGAGGAUCAGUGUGGAGUUUGUAGGGUGUCUUUCAAAGCAGAAGAAACUGACAAACCAUCAUUUGAAUCUGAUAUGGACCAGACGGGAACAACAGUGGAAAUGACACAAAUUGAAAGAGGCACUCAGCAUAUAGUUUUCGAGAAUUUCAUGAACCAGCAGAAGACAUCACAGAAGCUGAGGGAGGAACAUUUGUCAUCACCGAUUCACAUGAUGAAUAUGAUGAAUUUCAAUGUUUUUAAAAAGCUGUACAAAGAAUACUUUGUAUCCAAAAUGUCUCAAAUUCAGACAUUCGUGGAAAAAAUGCGAAAAGGUGAAAUAUGCAUGAAUAUGGCAGCUGUUCAUCUUGCACGCUUGGAGUUCAUAAUGCAUCAUGUGCAAGUGCUAUAUCAAGGUAUUUUUAAUGAAUUCAAGUGGGACCUGGUAUAUGAGCUGAGCCACAAGGUUAAUAGAUUAUGUAUGUACUACAAAGGUGUCUCUGAAGAUGCAGAAAUGAUGAAAAAACAAUCAUUGAUUCAAGUAGACGAACAGCCACAGCCAGCAUCAGGAGACAGCAGUUCCAUCCCAGACAUAACAAGACAACAUGUGGGAGCAGAACAUGUCAAGGACGAACUAUUGGAAGUUGCUUAUGAGGACAAUCCUAGAGUAGCACCAGCUGAUGCUGAACAAGGACAACAGAGACAGAAUAGAGAUGGUGUACACCAAGGUCAUGACAAUCCCAUAGUCCCAGAUGAUGGCAACAGAGGAGCAGGAUAUGGCCGAGGGGGAGUCUCACAACAGUAUGGAAGAGAUAGUGGUCAUGGAAAGCAUGGGAGAUAUCAUGAUGGUCAUAAUGAAAACAACCGAGGACAACAAGGACACAGGGGAGGUCGAGGAGUCUAUGAUAGAGGUGGUCGGGGGAACAGAGGGCCACAUGAAUACUAUGGAAGAGGUAAUCAUCAACAUAGGGCAGGCGGUUUCGGCAGAGGGUAUGGAGGAGGUCGUGGAAGAGGUUCUGCUGGUCAGGGUCGAGGCAGGGGACAAUAUGAGUUUCCAUAUGUUCCACCAAGACACCAAAGACUACAACAGCUCCAACAGUUCCAGGAACAACGAUACCCGACAAUACGUUAUUGAUAAGAUUCCCAGAUAUUGAGACAUUUGGCAUACAGUAAGAAGUUGAUUCUGUGAAUGAAUCGAUCGGGGCCUAGUUAUUCCUGCUGAGGACAACUGAACCCUCCUCCAGGCUGAAGUGAAUAUGCAGUUGUGAUUCUUUUUGUUCACCAGAUAUCACAGGUUUUGGGUUUUUUUAGUAUGCAAAGCAAGCUGUGGUUACAAUUUUCCUGACUUUUUUGCUGUGUAUUGAUGGCUUUUCUCUGUAGUAUAUUUGUUUUUAAAAACGAUGUAUUAUUGAGAAAUAUUGGAGAAGUAACUGUGACCAAAAAACAAAUAAUGAUCCAAAAGAACAUUUUUGAAAUUACUGGUGAAUAGUGACAAAUUCAUUUCGAUUACUAACAAAAGCAAUUUCCUGAACAUAAUUUAGAAGUGGUGCAUAAAUGAAGAUGUAAAUUUGUGUUUCAAACAAGGGCAUGCCGGGUAUGCUGAUAAGAGUCAGCUGUACAUCAGUGUUGUACCUACCUCUAUCCCAGUUUGCCAGAAUCAGAUCACAACAUACCUUUCAGAUAUUCGCAAAUGGAUGGCUGCGAACUUUUUUAGAUUGAAUGACGACAAGAUGGAGUAUAUGGUUAUUGGCACACGGGUGCAAUUAAACAAGGUGACAACAUCUCCAUACAUUAUUAGUGACUCGAACAUACACCCUACCAAAAGGUGAAGAAUCUCGGAGUCGUGUUUACUGAGACUAUGUCACCAGACCAGCAAGCUCUGAACACAUACGGGACAGCAAACAUCCCUCUGAGGAACAUCGGGAAGAUCCGACUCUACCUUGACACCGAUGCGACAAAACUACUAGUCCACUGCUACGUAACAUCAAGGCUGGACUACUGCAACUCGCUACUGUAUGGAGCCGGGAAUGUCCAACGUCUGCAGAAAGUGCAAAGUAGAUCGGCAAGAGUGAUCUCCAGGACCAAACCAAAGCACCACAUCACACCUGUCCUCAAUCAACUUCAGUGGCUACCUGUCGAACAAAGGAUAAAGUUUAAGACACUGGUUCUGACAUAUGGAACCGUGAAUGAUCCAGAUUCCCCCGUAUAUCUAAAAGACCUGAUUAGCCCUUACACACCUGCACGGAGUCUACGGUCGGAGAACAAAGGCAAACUCAUCGUCCCAAAAACCAGGAAAAACAAGCCAGCCACGCAUUUUCUGUCUCUGUCCCAUUGCUCUGGAACUCUGUUCCACUGAAAAUACGAUGUGCAGAAGCAAUUGACUUUUUCGGCAAACAACUAAAAACCUAUCUCUACUCUGGAAUCCUAUUCUAGUUAGGCUUUGUGAUGCGCCAUUGAACAGCUUUAAGUUGGAUACCAGGCGCCAUAGAAAUCCAUUAUUAUUAUUAUUAUUAUUGAGAAAAGAAGAGUUCAUGUAUAGAUCGAGUAAGGAUUUUCAUUUCAUUUUGUUGUUACCUUGAUGCAUAGUCUGUAGUCGUUUAAUCCUUGUUUGUUUGUAAUUAUAUUUUUCCUUAUCCU